AAGAACAGGUAAUAAAUGGCUCUUGCUAUGGUAUGAAAUCUACACACUAUAUCGCAGACAUGACCGCUUGCCUUACACCUAUUCGUCAACUUCGCCAUGGCAGUAAUCCACACUCAUCUCUCUGCAGACUGUUUGUAGAAUCUGUACGAUGUUUAGAAAGGAGAUAUGGUGAUACGAAUAAAUGUUCAGUGGAUGAUAUAUCUGUUAUAUUAUUAGAACAAAUCAACAUGCUGUUGGGAUAUGGCGCUUAUGGUUUAGCUGCAGUUUCAUCUUUCUAUGGCGAUACCAAGAGACCUGUUCAGCUUCUGAGUUGUCGUGGUUAUAUGAAGUCGAUCGCGUCUAUACCACAACUUUGUGAAGAUAAUGAUUUAUUAGCUGGUACCAUUGUAUCUGAUAUAUGUAUGUUACAAACCAACCAGG